rnacentral:rRNA from 1 species
AGCACCCCCGCCGCAGUAAUUCCAGCUCCAAUAGCGUAUAUUAAAGUUGUUGCAGUUAAAAAGCUCGUAGUUGAAUUUCGGAAUCAGUACGCCAGUCAUGCUUCGGUAUGUACUAGUGUCACUGAUUCCUUCCUUCUGACGAACCGUCAUGCCAUUAAUUUAGUGUGAUGUGGAAUCAGGACUGUUACUUUGAAAAAAUUAGAGUGUUUAAAGAAGGCUCGCGCUUGAAUACAUUAGCAUGGAAUAAUGAAAUAGGACGUUUGAUCUUAUUUUGUUGGUUUCUAGGAUCGAUGUAAUGAUUAAUAGGAUAGUUGGG